GAAAUUUUAAAUUAUUGCUUAGAUAAGAAUUUACUUAAAUAUAAAAAAAUUAAUAAAAAAAUAAGUCAGUAAUUAAUAAUGAAAUUUAUUAGAUAGGCAAUAGAAUAAAAGUACUGAAUGGGAAGUAAAAUUAAAAAAUUUUAAAGUAUAAAAGUAAAUUUAAAUUUUUGUACCUUGUGUAUCAGGGAUAAUUAAAAUUAUUCAUAAAAAAUGUUUAUCCCGAAAUAAAGAUAGCUAAUAUUAUACUUAAUUUUUUGUGACAUAAAAAUUUAUAAUAUAAUAUUAAAGAUGAAAUGUCAAACGAGCUUUAUAGUAUCUGGUUUUUUAGGAAUAAAAUAUAAUUUAAUUAUUGAAAUAAAAUAAAUUCAAUAUUUAAGGAUAGGAGGGAAAAGCUUCUUAUACUAUUAAAAUCAGACAAUAGAAUAAAAAAUUUAAGAUAAAUGUUUUCUAAGCUUAAAAGUAGUUAUGAAAUUAAAGUGUUCUAAUUUAGAUUUAAUGAAAUAAUAAUUUAUUAUAUCUUUGAUAAAGUACUAAAAUAUUAAAUUUAAUAUUAAAUUUUAAGAAGAAAUGAUUAUAUAAGUAAAAUUAAAAUUUGUAGAAUGAUUAUUUUUUUAAAGUGAAAUAUUAGAAAUUAAAAUUAUAAAUUAAUCAUGAAAUAAAAAAGGAACUCGGCAAAAAGAUUUCUUGCCUGUUUAUCAAAAACAUGUCUAUUUGAGGUUAUGUAUAGUCUAGCCUGCUCACUGACAAAAAUGUUAAAUAGCCGCGGUAUUUUGACCGUGCAAAGGUAGCAUAAUCAUUAGUUUUUUAAUUGAAAACUUGUAUGAAUGGUUGGACAAAGAAAAAGCUGUCUCUUUUAUUUGAAUUGAAAUUAACUUCUAAGUGAAAAGGCUUAGAUUUUUUAGAGGGACGAUAAGACCCUAUAAAGCUUUAUAAGUUAAGUAAGUUAAAUUAAUUUUUUAAAAUAAAAAUAAGCUUAAAAAAUUUAUUUGGUUGGGGCGACAAUGGUAUAAAUUAAAUAACUGCUAUUAAAAUUAAGCAAUUAUAUUUGAUUAGAAUUAUAAUUGAUCCUUAUUAUGGAUUAAAAGAUCAAGUUACUUUAGGGAUAACAGCGUAAUUUCUUUUGAGAGUUCUUAUCAAAGAAGAAGUUUGCGACCUCGAUGUUGAAUUAAAAUGUCUUUAUAGUGCAGAAGCUAUAAAAGAAGGUCUGUUCGACCUUUAAUUUUUUACAUGAUUUGAGUUCAGACCGGUGUAAGCCAGGUCGGUUUCUAUCUUCUAAAAAGAAAUAAAUUACUUUAGUACGAAAGGAUUAAGUAGUUAAAAUUUUUUUGAUAAUUGAAAUA
rnacentral:rRNA from 1 species